rnacentral:rRNA from 1 species
CCUACGGGCGGCAGCAGUGGGGAAUCUUGCACAAUGGGGGAAACCCUGAUGCAGCGACGCCGCGUGAGUGAAGAAGUAAUUCGUUAUGUAAAGCUCUAUCAGCAGGGAAGAAAAUGACGGUACCUGAGUAAGUAGCCCCGGCUAACUACGUGCCAGCAGCCGCGGUAAUACGUAGGGGGCAAGCGUUAUCCGGAUUUACUGGGUGUAAAGGGAGCGUAGACGGCAGUGCAAGUCUGCAGGGAAAGGCGGGGGCACACCCCCCGGACUGCUCUGGAAACUGUACGGCGGGAGUGCAGGAGAGGUAAGUGGAAUUCCUAGUGUAGCGGUGAAAUGCGUAGAGAGUAGGAGGAACACCAGUGGCGAAGGCGGCUUACUGGACUGUAACUGACGUUGAGGCUCGAAAGCGUGGGGAGCAAACAGGAUUAGAUACCCUAGUAGUC